rnacentral:misc_RNA from 1 species
GUGAAUCAUCGAAUCUUUGAACGCAAAUUGCGCUCUCUUCGGAGAGUAUGCCUGUUUGAGGGUCAGCCUAAAAAAAAUCGACAUAGUUGCUGUUACGUGGUAACAUUCGUGGGACAUUGGGUCAUCUUAAACCUUAGGGUUUAAGCGGAUUAAAAUUUUCUUUACUAUUCCAUGAACGUAUCUAUGCUUUUAUUUUCUUAUACGUUUAAGGUAUUGAUUUUUAUUAGCUGUCGCCGUUGCAUCGGAACUCGUCCA